AUGUACCUUCGGUGUGCUGUUCAUGACACCCCGACGCACUGGCGCAAGUGGCUUCCCACGGCAGAAUUCUGGUACAAUACUUCACAUCACUCGUCACUCAAUACAUCUCCAUUUCAAGCCCUGUAUGGCAAAGAACCGAACCUGGGCGGCCUGCCAUCGCUUGGGGCGCACCUGCCAGAGGAAGCAGGCAAAGAACUGGAUUGGGUCAAGCACAAUGAUCGACUCCGCGCGCAGCUGGCGCGUGCCCAGAACAGAUGCAAGCAGAAGGCAUACAAGAAUCGCACUGAGCGCUCUUUUGUCGUGGGUGAUCAGGUACUCCUCAAGCUCCAGCCAUAUGUCCAAUCCACGGUGGCUAACCGCCCGUGCCCCAAGCUGGCAUACAAAUUCUUCGGUCCCUUCACCAUCGAGCAACGUGUGGGCACCAUGGCAUACAAACUGGCGCUACCACCGGGCAGCCGCAUCCACCUGGUGUUUCAUGUCUCCCAGCUGAAGCCCUUCACGCCGGACUACACACCUGUCUUCGCCGAGCUGCCGCGCGCUCCUGACCUCUCUGCCGCACCUCUGCAGCCGGUGGCAAUCCUGGAUCGACGCAUGGUCAAGAAGGGGAUUGCAUCCAUCGUACAAGUCCGUGUCCAAUGGUCGUCUCUAUCACCAGACUCCGCUACAUGGGAGGACUACACAGUGCUGCGUCACCGGUACCCGACGGCUCCUUGCUGGGAUGAUGUUGCUUCCGCUCAAGGAGGGGAGCAUGUCACACCUGAUGCUACUACAUCAGUGGACUGA
rnacentral:rRNA from 1 species